rnacentral:misc_RNA from 1 species
CCCAUAUAUGCGGUGAUCUCAGGCAGGCUGGUACAUGACACUCAUCGGCACUCCAGUCGAGCGAUUGCACCAGCUAUGUCGCCCUACUGUGGGAAAUUGUGGUAGCGUUCUCAAAUUAUGCUUUUGCGGUUGGGGAAAGAGGAAGGCCCGAAUCUUGAAGUCGACAAGGUGGUCAUAUUCUUGAUACAGAUUAGCAAGAUCCUCAUCGGAGGUGAUGGAGAAGUGGGUUUCUUCAAGAUCUGGGAGCUGACAUCGAAGUGUUAGGGUUUGCGAUUCCCGGCAUGUCUCUGUCAAUUUUGCCUUUAGCUCUGAGAAUGGAAGCGAUCGAUCUACGGCGAAUAUCCUUGUCACCCCACCGAUGUAUCUGAGCUUGCCGUCGGUAUAACGGGGCAGUAGCUUACCGCCGUAGCUGCAGAGGAACUUGACAGUGGUGGUCUUGACAGAAGAAGUUGAAGAGGAAACUACCAUUACCG